AUAGCUCAGUGGCAGAGUACAUGCUUAGCAUGCAUGGGGUCUGGGGUUCAAUCCCCAU
rnacentral:tRNA from 1 species